GAUGAACGCUGGCGGCGUGCCUAAUACAUGCAAGUCGAGCGAACGGACGAGAAGCUUGCUUCUCUGAUGUUAGCGGCGGACGGGUGAGUAACACGUGGAUAACCUACCUAUAAGACUGGGAUAACUUCGGGAAACCGGAGCUAAUACCGGAUAAUAUUUUGAACCGCAUGGUUCAAAAGUGAAAGACGGUCUUGCUGUCACUUAUAGAUGGAUCCGCGCUGCAUUAGCUAGUUGGUAAGGUAACGGCUUACCAAGGCAACGAUGCAUAGCCGACCUGAGAGGGUGAUCGGCCACACUGGAACUGAGACACGGUCCAGACUCCUACGGGAGGCAGCAGUAGGGAAGCGUCCGCAAUGGGCGAAAGACUGACGGAGCAACGCCGCGUGAGUGAUGAAGGUCUUCGGAUCGUAAAACUCUGUUAUUAGGGAAGAACAUAUGUGUAAGUAACUGUGCACAUCUUGACGGUACCUAAUCAGAAAGCAACGGCUAACUACGUG
rnacentral:rRNA from 1 species